rnacentral:rRNA from 1 species
CCACCUGGUGGUUUUGUAAAUUAUUUGCGCAAUCCAUCGAGCUUUAUCCUUCCACAACAAAUUCCUCCUCAACCAGCCAUGUCACAUGAUGCUCAUUUCGUGGCACCACUGACAUUUGCAUCUGAAAAGAAUCCAAUUAGAGCAGCGAAGAAACGAUCCAAGCGUGUCCAUGUUGAAAUUGAAGAUGAUGAAGGGGAAGGAAAAACUAUGAAGAGACUGUCAUGGACAUCAGAGGAGGAUGAUAGAUUGAUGAGUGCUUGGCUCAGAAACUCAAAUGAUUCUAUCGGUGGUAAUUUUAAGAAGAAUUACAAAUAUUGGGGAGAUGUGGUCACGGACUACAAUAGCAACACCCCCUCAGAUCGCAGAAGACAAGUCAAUCAAGCU